UACGUAGGGGGCAAGCGUUGUCCGGAUUUAUUGGGCGUAAAGAGCGUGUAGGCGGCUAUACAGGUCCGCUGUGAAAACUCGAGGCUCAACCUCGAGACGUCGGUGGAAACCGUAUGGCUAGAGUCCGGAAGAGGAGAGUGGAAUUCCGAGUGUAGAGGUGAAAUUCGUAGAUAUUCGGAAGAACACCAGUGGCGAAGGCGGCUCACUGGCCCGUUACCGACGCUCAGGCGCGACAGCGUGGGGAGCAAACAGG
rnacentral:rRNA from 1 species